UCGGCGGGGGUGGGAUGGAGAAGUAGAAGAGGUAAGAGGGAAGCGCCCCCUUACCUGCAAGGAGCAGGCCGAGGACAGACGGACACAGCGACCCUAACACAGGAGAGGAGCAGACGGAUCACUUCCUAGGAAGGGUACGGACAAGUAGGUGCCAAGUUGGGUCCGUGGAACUGGACUCGGGCUGUUCUUCUUUCCUGUUAUGGUUUAUUUCCUUUCUCUGCUCCAAUCCCUGAGAUGCUGAUGCGUAUUUCCACUCCUCACAGGGGAGCCCGCUGAAGACCCUCCUCACCUUGGACACACAUUCUGACGACAGCCUGGGGGAUGUCUGAACGCUCUGCACCUCAGAGUGGUCCUGGGUUUGGUGACACAGUCCCUUGCAUCCUCCGCAAAGAAGCCCAGUCAGGCCGCCACAGAGCUGUGCUCCAGCCCAGGCUAUGGGCUCUGAAGGGGUUGGAAUGAGAAAUUUCUCCCAGCAUCCCCACAUCAUCUGUCUCUGAGGUUCUCAGUGUCCAGGCAAGCCCUUCCCCAGUCUAGGUGAACAGAAUGCAUCAAAGGAUGGGGGAUGGGUAGAGCAAAGAGGAAGAGCUGGCAAUUAAAAAGCAAAAGAAUUAAAAGCACCAAUCGGGAAGAGUAAUUAUCCUUCAGCUGCCGCAGAAAUACAAUUAGGGCCAUGCGCUCUUGGAGCUGCCAGGAUAUUGUGGCUUUUCCUAAUUAAGGAGCGGAUGUGCCCUGCCCGUGCAAUUAGAGGCUGGCCCAGGCAGCAGGGGCCUCGCCUACCUCUAUCAGCGUAGUGAAAGGGCAAUUAACCAUACAGCCUACAUCCCUGGCCCACUCUCCCACUUGACUUUGACUUGUGACUCAUGGACCCUGUGAGGAUGUUCAUCUUGGGCCCUGGGGACCCUUGGGAAGGGAAGAAGAAGCCUGGGACGGGCACUACCUGGCUUGCUUUUUAGGCUUUAUAAUGGACGAAGAAGAUAUAGAGAGAUGAGCUGCCCACCUGCUUCCCGUGAGAGGAAGUGUGUUCAGGGUGGAAAAUAGAACACUCCAGGAAGGGGGGAAAGUAAGAAAAUUAUUUCUCCCCAAUUUUGAACAGAGACUCUAGGGAACUGUAUGAGCAGGGGGCAGGCAGGGUGCAAUGAGAAUAUGGGCAAAGUAAGGGGAGCAGGCACUGAAGCUGGCCUUCCCUACAGGAGUGUCCGGCUGACGGCAGGUGGUGCACCAAGGCCUGGG
rnacentral:lncRNA from 1 species